UACGUAGGGUGCAAGCGUUGUCCGGAAUUAUUGGGCGUAAAGAGCUCGUAGGUGGUUUGUCGCGUUGUUCGUGAAAACUCGCAGCUUAACUGUGGGCGUGCGGGCGAUACGGGCAGACUGGAGUACUGCAGGGGAGACUGGAAUUCCUGGUGUAGCGGUGGAAUGCGCAGAUAUCAGGAGGAACACCGGUGGCGAAGGCGGGUCUCUGGGCAGUAACUGACGCUGAGGAGCGAAAGCGUGGGGAGCGAACAGG
rnacentral:rRNA from 1 species